ensembl:lncRNA
GUGACACAGUUAGUAGCAUCUGUGCCACAUUAGUGUCUUCGGAGAAUCCUUAUAGCUUAAGACAGAUGGUUGAGGAGCUUCCUGUUGUAUCCAGAUUGUCCUGCAGGAUGGAAAGCUAUAACCCACUGGAUGAAGAUGAGGUUUGUCGGGGAGCCAGGAAAAGCCGAGUGGCCCUCUUGGAUGUCCCACGGCCCUGAGUUUUUUACUUUACAGCUACUGUUUAUUAAUUUUAAAUUCCCUGACUUAGGAGUAAACCAUUUCUGUGCUAUAACAGAGAUCAAUCUUAACAACACAGAAAACUCUUUUCUUGAAGUACCCUUUUCACAACCCUUUUUAUCACUUUCUGGAUUCGUAUUAAUUCUUCCCUUAUUUUUUCCAUCCAGAAACAACCAC